rnacentral:rRNA from 1 species
UACGUAGGUGGCAAGCGUUGUCCGGAUUUAUUGGGCUUAAAGGGUGCGUAGGCGGCCUUGUAAGUCAGUGCUGAAAUAUCCCGGCUUAACCGGGAGGGUGGCAUUGAUACUGCAGGGCUUGAGUAAAGUUGAGGUUGGCGGAAUUGACGGUGUAGCGGUGAAAUGCUUAGAUAUCGUCAAGAACACCGAUAGUGAAGGCAGCUAACUAAGCUUUAACUGACGCUGAGGCACGAAAGUGUGGGGAUCAAACAGG